UACAAUUGAUUAUCCACAGCUUUUCCGAUAAUCCUGUACUUAUAUUUUGAUAUAAAUACAGCUUCUUUAACGCUCAGAAAAUCAGAAACAUCAGGGAAAAUAGUGCUGCCAUACACGAUUUUGCAGAUCUAAUCUCCAUCACAAUCUUCGCAAAAUGAAGUUGUUCCACGUGGUUCUCGUAGCAUCAGCGUUGGUGGUGAUGAGUCUUAUGACUCCAGUCCUUGCCGAUCCCCGCCCCAGGGGAGGCCAUCUGCCACCCGGUCGCAAAUGAUUCCUCAUUUUUCAAAUUGUUUCAAUUUUUUAAAAUUAUUUUUUGUGUGUUGGUUUUUAAAUGAAACAAUGUAAUAAAAGCAAUUGCUUCUUGAGGAAUUGAAGUUUUUGAUCGAUUAAACCAUAUUACUGUACUACAAAUGAUUCUUCAUUUCCAAGUUGUUUCAAAUUUUCAAUAAUUUUUUCUGUGUGUGUGUGUGUGUUUAAUUGAAACAAUGCAAUAAAAGCAUUUGCUACUUGAGGAAU